GCCAGUGGUGAUGGCAAGCUGAAUACACCAGUUCCUGUCGGAUUACUAAAGCAACGUUACGCGUGGUUAGUAUCCGGAUGGGUGACCAUCUGGGCAAUAGCGUGCUACUGGCU
rnacentral:rRNA from 1 species